ACUCCUACGGGAGGCAGCAGUGGGGAAUAUUGGACAAUGGGCGCAAGCCUGAUCCAGCCAUGCCGCGUGAGUGAUGAAGGCCCUAGGGUUGUAAAGCUCUUUCACCGGUGAAGAUAAUGACGGUAACCGGAGAAGAAGCCCCGGCUAACUUCGUGCCAGCAGCCGCGGUAAUACGAAGGGGGCUAGCGUUGUUCGGAUUUACUGGGCGUAAAGCGCACGUAGGCGGACUAUUAAGUCAGGGGUGAGAUCCCGGGGCUCAACCCCGGAACUGCCUUUGAUACUGGUAGUCUUGAGUUCGAGUGAGGUGAGUGGAAUUCCGAGUGUAGAGGUGAAAUUCGUAGAUAUUCGGAGGAACACCAGUGGCGAAGGCGGCUCACUGGCUCGAUACUGACGCUGAGGUGCGAAAGCGUGGGGAGCAAACAGGAUUAGAAACCCUGGUAGUCCCAUGA
rnacentral:rRNA from 1 species